UCAGAUUUGCAGGAGAAAGUCGAUCAGGGUCCUUGUACAGCAAUCACGGCUCUUUUGCAGUACUUCCUGCUGGCCACGUUUGCCUGGAACAUCCUGUAUGCGGCUCAUGUGUUUUUCCUCAUUCGAAAUGCCCUCAGCGGUCCACCUCGAGCUUUCCGCACCAUCGCCAUGACAGUCGGCUGGGGUCUGCCUGCUGUUAUUGUCGGCAUCUCGCUGUCCACCACCUACAGCUUUAGGAAUCCUUUAGGUUAUCGACAAGAGGAGUUCUGUUGGCUGGCGUCUCUGGACAAGGCGGGAAGGUUUGAUCCAAAGCGGCCGAUGUUGUGGGGUUUCUUGCUCCCUCUAGCAGUCAUGUUGUGUUUUAACACAUCUCUGCUGGUCUACUUCUCUCAAACCAUCUGCUGUGCGAAUCCCAAC
rnacentral:lncRNA from 1 species